GAUGAACGCUGGCGGCGUGCCUAAUACAUGCAAGUCGAACGAUGAAGCCGGAGCUUGCUCUGGUGAAUUAGUGGCGAACGGGUGAGUAACACGUGAGUAACCUGCCCUUGACUCUGGGAUAACUGCGGGAAACUGUAGCUAAUACCGGAUACGACCCUCGGAGGCAUCUCCUGGGGGUGGAAAGAAUUUCGGUCAAGGAUGGACUCGCGGCCUAUCAGCUAGUUGGUGAGGUAAAGGCUCACCAAGGCGACGACGGGUAGCCGGCCUGAGAGGGUGACCGGCCACACUGGGACUGAGACACGGCCCAGACUCCUACGGGAGGCAGCAGUGGGGAAUAUUGCACAAUGGGCGCAAGCCUGAUGCAGCAACGCCGCUUGAGGGAUGACGGCCUUCGGGUUGUAAACCUCUUUUAGUAGGGAAGAAGCGAAAGUGACGGUACCUGCAGAAAAAGCACCGGCUAACUACGUGCCAGCAGCCGCCGUAA
rnacentral:rRNA from 1 species